CGGGGCGGCAGGGGCCUC
rnacentral:miRNA from 1 species